CUGCUUCUUCUUCAGGGCUGAAAGGACGCCUGAAGGCUCCUCCCCGAGCGGCUCGUUGCGCCUCUGCGCAGCCGGGGGCCGAGGCGGCUGGCCGGGCGGUGUGUUGGCGCCUUUCCAGCUGUGAGCUCGGGGUGCUUCACGUUGAGAGUACGCAUUGGUAGGCAUGCUUUUUGUUUCACGAAGCCUCUGUUGCCGUGGCAUUGGAACGUACCAUCUACAAACAAAUUUACUUUCUAGGUCCAUCAAGCUUUCAGCCUCUGAUACAAUGGCCUUUAGACACAAAAACACAAGACGAAUUGAAGGCCUUGAUAGCAAUGUGUGGGUUGAAUUUACAAAGGUGGCAGCAGAUCCUUCAAUUGUUAAUCUUGGUCAAGGCCUCCCUGAUAUAUGCCCUCCCAGCUAUGUUAAAGAAGAGCUGGCAAAAGCAGCAGCAGUUGACAGACUGAACCAGUACACACGAGGCUUUGGGCAUCCAUCGUUGGUGAAAGUCUUGUCUAAAGUAUAUGAGAGAGUUUGUGGAAGAAAGAUUGACCCUCUCACAGAUAUCCUGGUGACAGUAGGAGGUUAUGGAUCUCUCUUUAGUACAAUACAGGCUUUAAUUGAAGAAGGAGAUGAAGUAAUAAUAAUAGAACCAUUUUAUGACUGUUAUGAACCAAUGGUAAAGAUGGCGGGUGCAAAGCCUGUUUUUAUUCCACUGAGAUAUAAAAAUGGUGGAAACUCUGCAUCCAGUGCUGAUUGGGUCUUAGAUCCAGCUGAACUUGCAAGUAAAUUUAAUUCGAAAACAAAAGCCAUUAUUCUGAAUACCCCACACAACCCUAUAGGCAAGGUAUUUACCAGAGAAGAACUCCAGAUGAUAGCUGAUCUCUGUAUUAAACAUGAUACUCUGUGCAUCAGUGACGAGGUGUAUGAAUGGCUGGUGUACAAGGGAAAUAAACACACAAAAAUAGCUACGUUGCCAGGUAUGUGGGAAAGAACAAUAACUAUAGGAAGCGCUGGGAAAACAUACAGUGUAACUGGUUGGAAGCUUGGUUGGUCUAUUGGCCCUCAGAAUCUGAUUAAGCAUUUGCAAGUGGUUCAUCAAAAUACACUAUAUACUUGCCCAACUCCAUUACAGGAGGCUUUGGCACAAGCACUUUGGGUAGACUAUAAACGCAUGGAUGACCCAGACUGCUAUUUUUACUCUCUGCCUCGAGAGCUGGAAAGCAAGCGUGAUCGGAUGGCUCAGCUACUUCAAGAAGUUGGGCUGACACCUGUCAUUCCAGAAGGAGGAUACUUUAUGAUUGUUGAUGUUUCUACAUUAAAUGUGGAUCUCUCUGAUGUAGAUGAGAAUCAACCUUAUGAUUAUAAAUUUGUCCGAUGGAUGAUAUCAUCUAAGAAACUCUCAGCAAUUCCGCUUUCAGCAUUCUGUGGGCCUGAGACAAAGAGGCAAUUUGAAAAAUAUAUACGUUUUUGCUUCAUUAAGAAAGACAGCACUCUGGAUGCAGCUGAAGUGAUCCUGAAGAACUGGAAGAAGCAGAAAGCUUGAUUAUUUUUUUUUUUUUUUUUUUUUAUUUUUUUCUCUUAAUUAACUCUUCUGUCUGGUAUAAUUAUCUUACAUCAGGGCUUUUGUUGCAGACUGAAGAACAAAUUACUUAAUACAGUACAGAAUUAAUGAUAUUGUAAAUAACGUUGUACUGCCACCUGCUGAGGAGUUAAAACAAUGAUUUACUGAUAUUUGUAAUGCAACUCAAGUUAUUUUCACAUGUCUUUGUCUUACUGAAAUGUGAAGAGUUCUAGAACUGCAAAAUAAAAAAUUGUUGUAGGUAUUUUAAGUUUUUUGGUAUGAGGUGGUGGAAAAUUACUAUAUGUCUCAGAGAAGAUAACCACAGUGCCUUUCUAUGUACCUGUCUACUCUGUCCAUGCAUAGAUUGCAUCAGUUUAACUAAAAUGAUUGAGUUAAAUCAAUUAUGUGUUUAUACAGGCAAGAUCUAAAGGAAUAACCGGUAUUUGGUUUUCCCACAGUAGUCUUGUGCUAUUCUGAGGGUAUUCAGUCCUCAAUAAAAUUAUGCAAGUGGCAUUUAGAAUAGGAUUUCUUUUAUUUCUAGACUCUUGUUUACUCCAUAAAUGAAUCUGCAAAGCAAAAUAAAAGGACUUGCUAUAGAGGCAUCUCCAUCAGGUGAAUUAAUCCUAUGAUCUCUUUUUUGCUCUUUUCAUGUCCACAAAAGCCACUGGUAACUUCACAACAAUCCUACUUUAAACUCUUAAGAUCAAGUGGGAACAUGAAGAUGGGCCUGAUAUUGUGCUGUAGUUCUGUGAUACUAUGGAGCUCAACUUUGACUAUUCCUAGCUCAGUGGCUAAAGGACAGGUUCAGAUGAGGUAAAUGUGGAGAGUUCUUUCACUGUUGUCUCCUCUCUGUGCAAUCUUUUAAUCUCUGGGUAGGAUUUCCACUAGUGAAAGCAAUCCAAGUAUGUAACCUUUUAAAUGUGUUGUAUUCUUCGUAUUCGUUUGGUAUUCAACCCACAGACCUUAUGCUGGAAAGCUCAAAGAAAUUCUGUUGCUAGAUUUGCAACUAUUUUACUUAUUCUGUGGUUACAGAGCUGGAAUCCAGCUGAAUCCCAGCAGUUUGUGACUGGACAAGAAGAAUCGUAUGGAAAUCAGACUGAUCUGCUAGGCUGCUUUAUCAGUAGCCUAGUAGCUGGGUCUUUUCAGCUGCCUUGCACUGUUGUUCUCCAGAUCUCCCCACAAAAAUGGUUAGUUGCUGUUUUCAAGAAGUCAUUACAAGUAAUAUGUAUACAGUGAUCAUAAAAUAAUAUCAAAAGAGACUUCUAAAUAAAGAUCAUUGCAUCAUACUAGUCUGAAAUACAACUGCAAAAAAGCACAGUUCUCCGAGUACUUCUACAACUAUUCUUACAGUCUAAGAUUUCCCUGAGAUAGCUUGCUGGUAGCACGAGAACAUGCAUGUAAUGAGGCUGUGCAUCCUCUCAAAUGCGGAAAGGUGUUAGGAUGCUACUUGCCUCCCUUUACUGUGUUUAUAUUGCCUUGUGAACAAAAGCCUCAUUGCUUCCAAAGCACUUGAUGUAAUCUGCUAAUCUUUUUUUUGUGUCGUUAAAGGUCUGGACAUGUAAGAUGCAUUGCAGAAAUGAAUUGAUAUACCAAGCAUGAUUCAGCUGCUCUGGCUGUUGAUCGUUGCCUCCAUUUGCUCCUAUGAGGCAUUUGACUGACAUCUGAUAUUUUAACAAAAUGAACAUUGGCUAAAUAAACAAUUGCAAAGGAUCUUUAGACAAGCAAUUUGGAUGCUCUUCCGAGGGUGACAUGCCCAAACCAUCCAGAUUCCAUUUUAGUGGAGGAUUACAGAGCUGGUGAUAUGAUUUGUUCAGAGUGUGGGCUAGUAGUAGGUACCUGGUGCUCAGAAGAGAACUACAUCUCCCAGAAGACUUUCACUGUUCUGUUUCCAUUCUCAGUUUAGAGGGAAAGAUAAAACUGCUCACAAGUCACGAGACUGUCCCCUUCUUUUACUUCUUGUCUUUGCAGUGUGUGCUCCCAGCCAUCUCACCUCAGCAUUAGAGUAAGGCCUUCGGUUUUUGGACACUCUCACUUUAUUUAUCAGCUUCAAUUCCAGUUGUAUUAUAUUGUAUUGUCUUGAUUCCAAUAUCGUACUUAUUAAAUCAGUUUUCUCCCUUGGCUCAUUGCUGCUGUUUAGUUUUUAGGCCCACCUCUCUACAUUUUUCUCUCUUUCCCUUCCCCUUUCCCCAGGCCACGUGCCUGUGAGCCCCUUCACACCGUUGCUCAUAGAAGUGGGCCAUGUUGGCCCCCAAAUUGUUGACAAUAAGCAAAUAAACAGAAUGUGGCAGGGUGUACACGUGUGGAAUACCGUGGCCAACUACAGGCUCCUCAGUACAAGAAACGUUCCGGCUUGUUGGAGCAAGUGCAGCAGAAAGUGACAAAAGUGAUGUACGGACAGGUGUAUUCUCAGUAUGAGUGAAUGAAGACCGUUCAGUUUUGAAGGAAGAAGGAAGGCUCAACUCAGCCUGGUUCUGUGCAGUUAUUCUUCAUAAUUUUCCUUGGCUUGAAUCUUCUACCUGGAUUUUUCACUGUAAUUUGUCUCAGCACCUCAGUGCUCUCCAUGAUAAGGAGUUGGCUGAAAUUAGAAUUCUAUGUAUGUUUUUAAGCAUGUUGUUCUUAAAAGUGUUUCCAUGUAUGUGCUCACUAGAUGGCAGCAGAUUCCUUAACUAAUGGUCAGAAUGAGCCAAACAUUGUUAGAAACUGGCUGUUUGGUAUUUUAAAUUGUGAAUAAGCAUUAUUUUACUGUUUAUUUUGAGGUUAUAAUAUUAGUUGUUCAUAUGCAGAGCUUGACUCAGUGUGCAUCUACCAUUAUAGCUCCUCUACAAUGAAUUAAGCCAUAUCAUCUUGAAAAUGUUUCGGGACUGAAUACGGAAGAUAACAUUAUUUGAGGCUCCAGUUCCAAUCUUACUGUUUUGAUUAAACCUCCUCAGUCUGCAGCUAUUUGUGUGUGUGUGUGUAUUUAAUAUAAGAGGUAAUAAAAAUGCAAACAGAGAAUACAGGACUCAUGCAUCACGGGUAUUUCAAGUGGAUUGUGCUGCUGAAGGAGCUGGUAUUAUUUGUCUGGAAACAUGUAAUUGUUAAUGCAGAACUUCUCAAAUAAGAGUGGUUGCCUUUGAUAAACUGCUUUCUACUUUUGGGGUGAAAUAAACAUGCAAUAUUUGUGUUUUAUAGUCAUUCUAAGGUAAUUACUAAAAACUUUUGAAAAUUGCAUUUUAAUUUUUGAUGCUGAGUUCUUUCAUUUCUGGAGCACUUGCUCAUUGUAUUUAUUAGUUCUGAAGAAAAGUAACUGGUCCGAGGUCUUCUGUUCUGAAUAACAGCAGUUGUGCAUUUUUAGAUGGUAUGUAAACUGAGUUGCUGAAGUUUGUUGUAUUUGCUCUGCAGUUCUCGUGUCAGUUAGACUGUGUUUUAAAGACUAGUUAUAUACUGGGAGAAGAGUUUUUGAAUUAAAUAAUGCAGUGAAGAAAA